rnacentral:rRNA from 1 species
UGGGGAAUUUUGCGCAAUGGGGGGAACCCUGACGCAGCGACGCCGCGUAGGUGACGAAGCUCUUUGGAGUGUAAAACCUUGUCACCGGUGACGAAGGCGGUUCAAUCGAACAGGUUGAACAGCUUGACGGUAGCCGGAGAGGAAGCCCCGGCUAACUCCGUGCCAGCAGCCGCGGUAACACGGGGGGGGCGAGCGUUAUUCGGAAUUACUGGGCGUAAAGGGCGCGUAGGCGGUCUGCUAAGUGUGGAGUGAAAUCCCCGGGCUCAACUCGGGACGUGCUUUGCAUACUGGUGGACUGGAGUCCGAGAGAGGGUGGUGGAAUUCCUGGUGUAGGGGUGAAAUCCGUAGAUAUCAGGAGGAACACCGUUGGCGAAGGCGGCCACCUGGAUCGGUACUGACGCUGAGGCGCGAAAGCGUGGGGAGCGAACAGGAUUAGAUACCCUGGUAGUCCACGCCGUAAACGAUGGUCACUUGGUGUUGGGGUGUCUUAACCACUUCAAUGCCGGAGCUAACGCAUUAAGUGACCCGCCUGGGGAGUACGGUCGCAAGGCUG